rnacentral:rRNA from 1 species
AGGCCAGACUCCUACGGGAGGCAGCAGUGGGGGAUAUUGCACAAUGGGGGGAACCCUGAUGCAGCGACGCCGCGUGGGUGAAGAAGCGCCUCGGCGCGUAAAGCCCUGUCAGCAGGGAAGAAAAUGACGGUACCUGAAGAAGAAGCCCCGGCUAACUACGUGCCAGCAGCCGCGGUAAUACGUAGGGGGCAAGCGUUAUCCGGAUUUACUGGGUGUAAAGGGAGCGUAGACGGCUGUGCAAGUCAGAAGUGAAAGCCCGGGGCUCAACCCCGGGACUGCUUUUGAAACUGCGUGGCUGGAGUGCAGGAGAGGGAAGCGGAAUUCCUGGUGUAGCGGUGAAAUGCGUAGAUAUAAGGAGGAACACCAGUGGCGAAGGCGGCUUACUGGACUGUAACUGACGUUGAGGCUCGAAAGCGUGGGGAGCAAACAGGAUUAGAUACCCCGGUAGCA